UGAGCGCGAUACAGCACUGCUAGACACUUAGAAAUGAUGGAGCUGGUUCAUUUGUUUUUUACCUGGAUAAAAAAAUAUCCUGAAUGAUUUUGGUAACAUACGGGUAAUGGUGCCUGAUUCAAAGCACUGGUCCAGGAAGGCAUGGAGACCAAGGAGGGUGGGAGACCUGGGGGGUGGACCCACGUGCACGGUCCGUGUGGCCAACCAAAGAGACAGGGCAAUUCAGGGCAGAGAAGACCGGCUGUCUCCGCAACAGAGGUGCCGGGACUGGACCCCACGUGGGAAAAGGACAAACCUCAACCUGUGCCUCAUACAAUCUGCACAGAUUCCCUUGAAAUGGACCACAGACCUAAACAUAAAAGCUGAAACUGUAAAAAUCCUCGACGUAAACAUAGGAGAAAAUCUUCACAACCUUGAAAUAGGCAAAGAUUUCUUGCAGGUAUACAGAAUGCACUAACUGUAAAAGAGGAAUCAGUAAAUUAGUCUUUAUCAAAACUAAAACUUUCGCCGUUUGAAAGAUAAUUUAAGGACUUUCCAUACACAAGAUGAUUUCAUCUGCAAAUUGAGUUUACUUAUUCCUUUCCAAUUUGAAUGCCUGCUAUUUAUUUUUCUUGCCCAACUGCCCCAAUUGGAACCUCCAGGACAAUGCUGAAUGGAAAUGAAUCCGGCAAACACCCUCAUCGAGACCCGUAUGAAACAUCUGUACUGUCAUCCAGCUCCACAGCAGCCCUCCCACACCGCGCAAUUUGCUUUGGUAUGUGUUUCUUCAAACCUUCUCCAGUGUUUGCUGUGGGUUUUCUCACAGUAUUUGCUGACAAAGAGAUGCACCUUAGUUUGUUCUCAUAAUGUUUUCAGCCAUUUUUACCAGCACAGGAAGGAAGUAUUUCCCCAAUGGCAGGAGGCCUUUUAUCUUUCACAAGUAAGAAACCUCAGAAGAGGUUUCUAAAUAUUUAUCACAAAGCUAACAACAUCCUGUAAAGUGUUGGACUGAGCCCUGAAUGGCAGCAGACACCCCUGCCUGGCCUGGAGAGCUGUGCCUCGUGUUCCGGCGUGUGGCACGGGAGUCUCACGAAUCACAGUGGCUCCACGCUCUCCUGGGCUGGCCUCCCCGGGCACAGCACACACCUGAGGGAGGCUCAUGAAGGGCAGGAGUGCUUCAAACCCCCUCUUUCAAAUAGGCUUCUUGAAAAGUGACAUGUUGCUGGCCCACCUCUAGGGGGAUGUGAUGAGAUGGACUUUUCACUCCGUGAAGUGCUGACAAAGCUGGAGGCGGGAAGGGCACCGUCGGCACCUCCAUAUUCUCCCUCCUGGGCACCCUCUACCGCUGCCACCGCGGCGCCUCUACUGGCGCCCACUGCUGGUGCGCUGCAGUCCGCCUAUCGCUUUACUCCUCCUGGCAUUUUCCCAGGACAUGUUCUACUGGUUAUUGCUGGGAUGCAGAAAAGUGACGGACUUCUGUCUGUUUUUCAUGUACCCAGUUACUGUGUUGACCUUUCUAAUUAACUGCAGUCAUUUUCUGGUUAGUUUGCUUGUGUUUCUGGGUACAUAAACAUAUUCUGUCUCA